rnacentral:ncRNA from 1 species
GGAUAUUCAAUGAUGAAGAGAGUAAUUCCCGCGUGGAUCUAAAAGCGAACCAGGGACGGUGCAAGCCUGGUGUGAAACCCGGAAUGAAGCGCACUUCUGAGAAGUCUUUCCCCAAAUUUCAGUAGGGAAAGACCGGGUAAAACCGUUAAUUUAUGAGCGCCCUUUCUGGGAAUAAGAGUGGUACCGCGAGUCAAAACUCGUCUCUACA